rnacentral:rRNA from 1 species
GAUGAACGCUAGCUACAGGCUUAACACAUGCAAGUCGAGGGGCAGCAUGAACAAAGCUUGCUUUGUUUGAUGGCGACCGGCGCACGGGUGCGUAACACGUAUCCAAUCUGCCCGCGGCUCGGGGAUAGCCCAUCGAAAGAUGGAUUAAUACCCGAUGGCGUGGUCACCCCGCAUGGGGUUUCCACUAAAGGUUUUCCGGCCGCGGAUGGGGAUGAGUAUGAUUAGGUCGUAGGCGGGGUAACGGCCCACCUAGCCUUCGAUCAUUAGAGGUUCUGAGAGGAAGGUCCCCCACACUGGAACUGAGACACGGUCCAGACUCCUACGGGAGGCAGCAGUGAGGAAUAUUGGUCAAUGGGCGAGAGCCUGAACCAGCCAAGUAGCGUGAAGGAAGACUGCCCUAUGGGUUGUAAACUUCUUUUGUUCGGGAAUAAAGUGCAGUAUGUAUACUGUUUUGUAUGUACCGUUCGAAUAAGCAUCGGCUAAUUCCGUGCCAGCCGCCGCGGUAAGAC